rnacentral:lncRNA from 1 species
CAUUCAUCAAGCUGUGUGUUUUGCAGUGAUCUUGGGGGAAAUAUUCAAGCAACAUAUUUUCAGCUUAUAUAAAGCAUUUAAGCACUUAUCAGCAGUAAUAAGAUGAUAACCACCAAACAGUAAAGGCAGACAACAGAGACAGACUAGAUGCAGAUGUCAGGCAGUGAUAUGCCAGGAAAAUGAAUUCCAGAUUCAAGAAAUCAGUGAACAUAGUUACUGAGAGAGAAGAAGAAAAGGAAAGUUAAAUCUCUGCCAAGGUCUUCUGAGGUGGAGUAGGGUUGAUAAAUUACAGUGAAAAUUCAGGCACUGAACAGACACCUUCACCAUCUAAAGGUAUGGCUUUGUGCCUAGCUCAUGUAUUUAUCAAUGUUGUCAUUGUUGUUGUUCAUCCCCAGUUUCACAAUUCAAAGGAGCCUCAAAAUAAUGAAAAGCAUGUUUUCAAUUUUUG